CCCAUAUUUUCAUAAUUCCGUAAAUGCCCUAUCCACAUUGCCAUCGUUUCGCGCUUCUACAUUGCUACCAUCAGCAGCCACUCGCCAGUCCUCCUCCGCUUCUCCUUCCAUUCGCUCUGCAUCUGCUGGCUCUGCUACAGGAGCCGCUCCAGGCCCCUCUACGCCGACACCUUCCUCCAUCUCUUGUGCCGCUCCGCGGAAUGACACCCCCACUCUGCACUGAAUAGAAGCCGCUUAAGCGUCGGCUCCAAAGAGACGGUUAAUCUUCGCCUCUGAACGGACGCAUCUCCUUCGGUCGUUUUUUGACGGUCGCUGCUUAAUUACACCGCAAAGAGUAUAACAUCCCAUUCCCAGUCAUUCCUCUCCACCUGCUUUCUUCCGAUGCGCACAAAACAGAACGCUCCCUCUCUGUUUCAUUGUUCUUAUGCGUCCACCAAUUGCUUUGUUCGGUUUUUGGCGAUUAUCCCGAGUCGACUGAGCCAGACUUGGGCGCCUUCACGUUGGACCACACUAGCCCGGGUGACAUCAUCGAAUGGAUCUUAUGUGCCCAGUCGGGGUGAGGCUUGCUUGUGUUCUUUGAGGUGGAGAUUAGGCAGUUUUCAUGAACUCUCAGGUGACUUUUAUAGGCAGUACAAUGACUUGCCGAGGCUUUUUUGAGUAGCAUUGCCAGCGUUCGGACUCACUACGUCCACAACGAACUAAUGAAUUUCUUAUUAGUGCCCUGACUGCUCUAUCGAUUUGCGUUAGAUUGUAAAGCCGUGAAGUGAAGAAUAAAAUAUCGUAGAAUUGUGUCCUCAGGAACCCUCACAAGGUUCCCCUCAUAACUGAUGUCUAAGUCAUUUUUAAAGAAUCUGGAUGCGUUGUAGUAGUCACGAAAUCCUAACUUCAAGAUGAAGAUCCUUAUAGCACUGAGGGUAUUGGAUGUCAAAUUGAUGUAUUACUGCCAACCAAUGAUGCGGCAGAAGACGUGGCAAAUCGCUAUCUUGAGAAAAACAGGUUUUGACGACCUUGUCUCAAGGGAAACGGCCUUCGGAGCACAACUCACUGCCUAUGCUAGGCCAUCACCCCUAAUGGUUACGAUAGAAGUUGUUGUUAGGGCUAAGCAUGCAAUUGGUACUUGAGUUACCUACUAAUACGUGUUUAGCGUCUAGUCUCUUAAUAGGGGCUUAUUCUGCAUAUAAAAAACCAAUUAGUUUUGGUAUGACAGAUAGUGCAAUAGUUAUAUUACAUCUCACUCUUUAAUGUACGAUUGUCGCAGUCAUUUUUAAAGAAUCUGGAUGCGUUGUAGUAGUCACGAAAUCCUAACUUCAAGAUGAAGAUCCUUAUAGCACUGAGGGUAUUGGAUGUCAAAUUGAUGUAUUACUGCCAACCAAUGAUGCGGCAGAAGACGUGGCAAAUGGCUAUCUUGAGAAAAACAUGUUUUGACGACCUUGUCUCAAGGGAAACGGCCUUCGGAGCACAACUCACUGCCUAUGGUUGUGAAAAGAUGAGAUUUAGGCCGAAUUCUAUCGUUUAGAGUCUCAAAUUGGCAUUUUUAUGUUAUUUGGGCGUUUUUACAAUUUUUAGGGAAUAGUUUAUUUCCUACGUUAUAAUUUCGUUUAAGCCUAUUUAAGCGUUGUAAGCCUUAGGGCUAAAGACAAUUGAGUUCUUGGAUGAAUAAAAUUUCGA